UAAUGGGUGAUAAUUGUGUUUUUCUUUAAAAUCGACGGAUCAGUUGUCUAUUUUAAUAAUUAUAAUAUCGACAACUUUUCCCGUUGAUAAAUUUAAACGAUUGAGAUCUUCUUUUAAAAUAAAAUGGACGGUGUAAAUUUAUUAUAUAAAAUAGACAGUUAAUAUGUUGAUUUUUGUUUUAACUAAAAUCGACUAACUUACCGUCGAUUUUUAUCAACAAAAAAUUAUGCCCGCCUUUAUUACCUGCGUCCUUUGUUUCGAUCAAUUUCCCAAACAUUAACCCCAAACUUCCAGAGAAUCAAAGUUCAGAGUGAAGCUGCUACUUCUUCUUCUUCUCCAACACUUGAGAGUAGAGACCAGAGAAGGAGUCACCGUCACGGAGAGAGGCAGAGAGCAGAUCAGUAGAGCUUCUUUUUCUUCUUCUUCUCCUCCUCCUCCGCCGAGUCCAUCGCCGCGCCAUCCUGUUCAUGUUGGCAAGUACAAGUGGCAAACUUACAAAGAAGUAUACGAGGUGAUACAGAAAGUUGGAAGCUCUAUCUGCAGUUGGGGUUACGGGCAAGCAAUGAAAUGUGGUAUCUAUGGUGCCAAUUGCCCUGGGUGGAUAAUAAGCAUGGAGGUUCAUUUUCAUUUCUUCGCUUUCACAUUUUGUUUUGUCAUCCUCUCAAUGUUUCUUGUUGACUAAGUGCAACAUAACUACAGGCCUGUAAUGCUCAUGGACUUUAUUGUGUUCCUUUGUAUGAUACAUUAGGUGAGCCCUUAACUUCUUUAACAUGACUAAUCAUUUAAAAGAUUCUUUUAAGUUUGAAUUCAUUGUCCCAAGUUUAAAGAACAUAGAAUCUCGUUAAUAAUAGAUAUACUAUAUCAGAAGCCUUAGUGUUUAUAACUUUUGUUCCUAGGUUCUUUUCAUAUCAAGAAUAUCUUCUGUAUUAGUAUUUUAAUCUUUAUUUUUCAAAGUUUGACUUUUAUUAGCAUUCAUAUGUAUGUGUAUGCUCAGGUGCUGGAGCAAUAGAGUUUAUUAUAUGCCAUGCAGAGAUCUCAAUUGCUUUUGUAGAAGAAAAGAAGAUACCCGAUGUUCUUCUACUAAAAUUAUUUGUUACAUCAGUGUCUUCUUACAAAGCAUGAUUUUUUAUUAAAUGUGAUCAAUAUUUUUCAUCUAUUUAUU